rnacentral:rRNA from 1 species
UACGUAGGCAGCAAGCGUUGUUCGGAAUUACUGGGCGUAAAGAGUGUGUAGGCGGUGCUCUAAGUUCGGUGUGAAAUCUCCCGGCUUAACUGGGAGGGUGCGCCGGAAACUGGAGUGCUCGAGCGUGGGAGAGGAAAGCGGAAUUCCUGGUGUAGCGGUGAAAUGCGUAGAUAUCGGGAGGAACACCAGUGGCGAAGGCGGUUGCCUGGAGCUUUGCUGACGCUGAUGCGCGAAAGCGUGGGGAGCGAGCCGG